UGUGUGUGUGUGUGUGUGUGUGUGUGUGUGUGUGUGUGUGUGUUUGUGUGUGUGUUGUUGUGUGUGUGUGUAGCCAGUGUGUUUGGUAAAUGUAAGUUUGUAGUUCAGCCAAUAGCAAAGGAAACAAUAUGUGUGUAAGUGUUUUACUUUAGUUUAGUUUAGUACUUUAGUUUAAUUAGAAUUUGAGUCCCCAACCCUAACCCUUAUUUAUAGUAGUAAUUAUUCCCUCAUGCAAUGAGGGGAUAAAACAUUUGUUACAUUCAGGCUACAUCCAUCCAAAUAUGUGGCCAAUAUGUUAUAUGUAAAAAAAAAGAAGAAAAAAGGAUGGUGCCCUAUGAGGCUGACUUGUGUUGUUAUAAAACUUUGUUUGAACACAGCCAAGUAUACAAGCUGUUCCCAAAAAACGAUUGAGCAUGUUGUAUUGAUUGAUAAAACAACAAACAUUACACAACAAACAGCACAACAGAAACAACCCAAGUCUACCUCUGUCUAAAUGACAUGGAUGGAAUAUAAUGCAUGUGCACGUGAACAUAAACACACACGUAAAGGUGCACGCAGAGAAGAAAAUCGAGGAAAAUUUUUCAGCAAAGGUUUUUGCACAAACUUCAACAAUAUCACUUUGAAUACUUUAUAUGGUGUAUUUGAAUACAGCAUAGAUAUGUUGAUAAAGCAAAGUGAAGAAAAACAUGCCAUAAUCAUGUCAGACAUGUUAUUAUGAACCUGAAAUGCAAUUUCUGUAGUCUCAACAGUGUACUGUCAAACCUGUGUGUAUUAUCUCACAGGUGUAGCGAUCUGCUGUUCAUAAUAAUGUGAAUGUAACCAAGAUUGAAUAAAGAUUUACUUUGGGGCCACCUGAA